UCACCCCCGGCACAGCCGGACGUUUGGGGGCCUUCUUUCAGCAGGGGACAGCCUGACUGGGGUGAGCGUCCCCUGCCCUCCCCCCCGGGCCUCCCCCCUCGCCUGGCUGGGCCACCUAUUUUGGGAGCAGGAGUGGCCAAGCCCGUGGCUUUCCAGGCAGGCCUGACCCAAGAGGAAGGGAGCGUGGUGGGGACAGUGGGGUUCCCCGGGAGCGGGAGUGCGGGGCGCAAGUCCUCCCUCCCCUGCUGCAGAGCGUGCGCCCUGCUUGGGGUGGGUUUGGGACACUCACGUGUGUGGGUCAGAUUGCGUCACUGUUUGGGAGCACGGGAGGCUCAGAUGAGGAGUAUCGUAUUCGUGACUGUCUCCACCCCACAUCUUGCUCCAACCAGAGGUUUGGGGGGUGGGCGUUGUCACUGCGUGUGCUCGUGUGCUCGCGUGUGUGUGUGUGUGUGUGUGUGUGUGUGUCCCUGCCCCUGGCAUCUGUCUUCUGUCUCUCAGCCUGGCUGGUCUGGGCCUCAUGCGACUCGCCUGGUGUCUGCCUAUGAAAGUCACCCAGAGGCAGGCAGACAGGGAUGUUUUCCCCUGUUCUCAUCAUUUCCAGAAAGAGAGAAGGGGUGGCCUUCCCCACAGGGGCAGCCUGUAGCCGUGUGGCAGCCCGGCCUCACCCUGGCAGGGUUGGGAAUGACCCCCCAGUGGGGGAAGGAAGGCUGUUGCCAUGGUGGCCUGUGUGAGGCAAAUUCCUCCAGGGUGAAGUGGGAGAUAUUUAUACCCAGGGUCAGGCAGAGAGCCGGCCAGCGGCCGAGGGCAGGAGAGCUGGGAUAUCACACGGACGCAGCAGGGCCGUGGUGGGAGGGCAGGUGGGCCCUUGCAUGUGUCUCUCACCCCUCCCCGUGUGUCUGUCUCUCAGUCUGGGUGGGGCGAGCCAUCCCAGUCUUCCCAUUGGGUAGGUGUGGGGAAUCUGGCGCCUGCUGUAGGGCGGCCCAGGCCUCCGGGAGACCCCUGUGACUGUGUGUCUCACCCCUGCCCAUUGUGGCUUGUUUUGGUGACACUGUGUCUGCAUGAAGCAGGGGGUGCCCCUGUUUCUCAAAGUGGCCAAGCUGGAUGAUGGACGUUUUUGGAAUCACACCCCCCCCCCCCCGGGAGUCUGAUUUAACCCCUUGGGUUCAAGCCCCAAUGGUGGGGGUACUAGGAAACACGUUUCUUGACCCUUGGUGUUCUCCAGGACAAUGGCAUCUCUCCACCACAUCUUGGUUCUCUGUGUGGGUUUCCUCGCCAUGGCCAACGCAGGUGAGUCUGGGGUAGGUAGCCCGCUACCCACCUCGGCCCCGAGGGAGGGGAGGGAAGCCUUUCAAGAGAACCAAGUUGGAGACUCCAACUUAAACAGAGUCAGUGGGGUACCAGGAAAUUGGAGGUUUCACGUGGGGGAGGGGAGGGGAGGAUGCCCAGGGCAGACAAAGGUGGAGGGUGGGAUGGAGCCCCACUUCCCGCACAGGACAGAAUCAAGGACAACACGGGAUGAGGCGGGAAGCUGUAACAGUUAAGUGACCACCUGCCCCCCCACCCCUGCCCCAGGACAGUGCAGAUGAGGCAGCUAAGACCCAGAGAGGGGUGGACAGCCUGUUCAGGGUCCAAUAGUCCCCAGACUCUCAGCCCAGGACAGGAAAGCCCCCAAAGGUCUCUUUAUGCCCCUUCCUGUCCAGGGCCCCAGGAAGCAUCCAACCCUUGACUUCUUUCUCUUUCCAGAGGCUCCACAGGAACACGAUCCAUUCACCUAUGGUGAGGGAGGGAGGGGCAUCUAUGCUUGGGAGUUGGGAGGGUGGGUGGCCUGGGUUUGCCGGUCCUGUUCCCACUCCUCCUCAUCUCUCUCUUCCUUUAUCUCUGACUCAGUAUUUAUAUCUCUGUCAGUCUCCUUCUCUCUCUUUCUCUUGUCUCUCAGAAGGCUGACUCCUUCUUGUUUUUAUCUCCCCUUGUCUGUGUCUCCGUGUGUCUAUUUGACCCCUCCCUGUCUCUCUGAUUCUCUUUCUCCUUUUACCUCUCAAUGUCUUACGGCUCAUCCUCUGCGGCCAUCUCCCUUUCUCCCCUCUGUUCCCCUCAUCCUCUCCAUCAUCCUCCCCUACUUUCUUGUUUCCUCCCUCCUCCCUGCCCUGCCUACCUCUUCCUUUUCCUUCCCACCCCCUCCUCUCCCCAUCCCUCUUCUCUUCCUCCCACAUCUGUUUCCUCCUCUCAUUGAUCUCUCUGUUCUCCUCCCUGAUCCUCCUUGCCCCUUCCUCCCCAUUUUGCCCCUCUCCUGUCCUUCCUCCUCCCCUCCCUGUUCUCACUCUCCUCCCUGCCGCCCACAGACUACAAAACCCUGCGGAUCGGAGGCCUUAUCAUCGCCGGGAUCCUCUUCAUCCUGGGUAUCCUCAUCGUUCUGAGUGAGUACCCCCACCCUGCUACCUCCAGCUCCGAGUGGGUACCCGUAUCCGCCUCGCCCCAACCCCGGCUGUGUCCCCACGGCUCCGCCCCUCGCGAGCCGGCGCUGGCGCUCGAGCGCCGCUCGGUGCCCGCCCGGAGCGGAAUCUCAGCCCUGCCCUCCUACCCCCACCCACAGGCAGAAGAUGCCGGUGCAAAUUCAACCAGCAGCAGAGGUAAGAGGCCCCUCGGGGCUCUCACUCUCCUCCUUCCGCUCCAGAAGGGCGCCGGGAGUGAGGCAGGGAGUCCACUCGACCCACAGCCAGAGACCCUUCGGCAAAUACGUAUUAAGCACCUACUACGUGCCAAGCCGCAAGCCAGGCCCUGGGGACCAAACGGCGACUAACUAAACUGCCCUCCCUGCCUGGCUGAGCUCCCAGCCCAGUGGGGGCGGCGGCCGUGGGUUCCCGCAGCCCCACAAAUAUAAAAGCACAAAGCGUGAUAAGUGCUGUGAAAGAAGGAGCCACGGCGAAAUGAGAUCACCGCACUUGGCGGCCCAGUUUAGCUCAGAGUCCUGUUCCCAGCUCUUUGAUUCAUCUCUAAAUAAAAAUUUAAAGCAAUGUAUGAAUCCCUUCUCCGUGUGAAAACAAUUCUAAAUGUUAUUUUAAAGAAUAGCUAAUGUUUAGUCCCACGUGCUGAAAGAUAUUGUUUUAUCGUGUAUUAUGUUAUUUCCUCCUCACACCCCUUGCAUGAGACUGUCGUUGACAACCUCAUUUUAUCGAGGAGGAAACCGAGGCGCAGGGAGGUGAAGUCACUUGCCCGAGAUCACUCAGCUAGAAGAUGAGGGUUCUGGGUUUCUAACCUAGGCUGUCUCCAGGCCGUCUGUCCUCAAGCCCUUCGGCCAUCCCUCCCCCACCAACUUCCAGUCUCUUCCCCAGCACUCCGGGAGGCGCUUGGAGCGCGUCCUGCCACACGCUUAAACUGCUCCUGGGUGCGCCCGAUUUUCUAGUUUCUGGCGGCCCCCGAGCCUGCUCCUCGCCGGUCUCUGGCCCUCGGUACCGGGGUCUGUGAAAUGAGGGCUGUACUGGGGGGCUCCUGGGAGCAUCUGCCUCUCUUUUUCAUCCCCACGUCCUUCUGCCUCUCCUUUCCCAGGACUGGGGAACCGGAUGAAGAGGAGGGAACUUUCCGCAGCUCCAUCCGCCGUGAGUCUGGGGGAGACUUUGGGUGUUUGGGGGUGGGGGCUGGUUCCAAGAACCCCUUUCCUGGUCCUCUCUGGGCGUGCGGAGGGAGGGACUUGAUCCGACAGCGAAGGUCCGGGAGUUCCCCUGUCGCUCCCCCCUCCGCGGGAGCUGGGGUGCCCCUCCUGACACCCGAACUCUCCGUGUUCCCCCUCAGGUCUGUCCACCCGCAGGCGGUAGAGACACCUGGCGCGAUGGAACCCAGCCAGGUCCUGCAGCUCGGGCUAGGCUGGGGGAGGGGGGCAGGAGAAGGGGACGAAGGGUGGGAUGAGAUGGCUGGGGGGCUCUGUUGCCCCUCACCCUUUUCGCCCCCACAGGAUUCCCCUGGCACCUGGCGCCCCCCACCCACCACCUGAGCACCACCACCACCUGGACUGCCCUCUUCCCCAGCCCUGCCCCCACAGACUCCUCUCUGCCGCCCAGACUUCAAUAAAACGUGCUUUUCUCUCUCGACAGCGCUUUAUGGAUCUGUCAGUCCCUCUGCGCGAAAGCCCGGGCGCCCCCUGGGCCCCGGCAGGGGGCGCCCCCACCCUUGGGGAAGGGGCGGGGACGUCGGCAGUGGGCGGGGGCGGGGGCGGGGGUGGCCGGGACGGGGGCGGGCUCUCCGGGCCCCCAUUGGCUACGGCACCCCCCACACGAGGGCUCCCCCAUCGCCCCCCGACAUCAGUCCGUCCCGCUUCCAGCUGCCGCAGCCGCGCCUUCACCACCUCGGCCUCCAGCCGCCCCCUGCUCCGGUCCGGCAUGGCGACCCCGACCCAGGCCCCCACAAAGGGUGAGCGCCGCCGGGGGAGAGGGCGCGCGGGUGAGGGUGGGGGAGGCUCCGGGAUCUCAGAGCUUAGGAGAGAGGAUCUAGGGAGAUUCCAGUACCGAAAACGGAGGGGAAUGGGGAAGGGGGUGUCCGUUCCUUCCCAGGGCGGAGGCCCCUGCAGCGCACCCCUUGGCGCCCCUCCAGGCCUCUUGGACACCCCCUCCCGGUGGUGUCGUUUCUGUGCGGGACCCGCGGUUGGAGAGCGGCAGUCCCGGGAGAAAGGAUGCGCGGACCGGUAGCUAUGGCAACCAGGCGGCUGGUCCUGCACAGCGGUGGUAGUGGACGCGAAGGGACGGGCUUCGAGGGUGGGAACGGGGGGGUCUGCGACCACAGAGGCUCUGGCACAUUUCAGGGUCUCCGAGGUGGGCAAAAGGAGGGGGUCCACAUCCCUCUUUCUUCCAGCCCUGGCGCCUAUGGUGGGUGUCUCCUGAAAUCUCUGACAGGCAGGUUCAGCGGGAAGGAGGGAGAAAGACGGAAAGACAGUGGGGGAGAGAGCUGGAGGAAGUGAGAGAGAGAUGGAGAGAGACAGGAGAGAGAGGGAGGCAGAAAGGAAUGUGGAAAUUGAGAAAGCCUAAGAGAGAGAGAGAGAGCGAGCACGAGCAGACCCCGAGUCAGAGAUACAGAGAGAGACCCGGGAAGAGCACCGAUAUGAGACUGAAAGAUAUUCAGAGAGUGAAGGGGAAGGCGGAGAGCAACAGAAAGAUGCAGAGAAAGAGAAAAUCAGAGACAAAGAGACAGAGAAGCGGAGAGAAAGACAUAGAGCAGGAGAGAGCGAUGGACCUACAGCGCGGGAGAGAAAUGGAGAUAAGGAGGAGCACCAUGGGGUGGGGCCAUGCCACUGCAGUGAGCCCCCUUGGGCCAGAAUGGGUGGCAGGACCCUCCUUCCCAGCCCACAUCCAGGGGUGCUGUCUGGUCCGGGAGGUGCACUCGAGCGUGCACACAAAUGUCCCUCCUCACCCCCAUCCAGCCACACGGCAGUUUACAUUUCACACCCCUUAACCCAGUUAUUCACCCACUUAAACACCCACUGCCCCCUGAGAGCCCCCUUUCUUGAGCCCGCCUCUGCAAAGGAGCAAAGGGAAGAAUGCUUUAAUUGCGGGGGGGGGGGCGGGCGGGUGGCAGGCGGAGGGUUUCCCGCACAGAGAGCAGGGCCAGAAGGGAUAGGCCAGUGGUGCCGAGGAGCCCCUGGUGGUGAAGGGAACCCCAGUUCCACUCCGAUCUCUCCUUCCCUGCCCCCUUUCCCAGCAGGCAGGGGCUGCUGCACUGAGCCAUAUCUGCAGAAUUUGAAGCAGGGCGGGGUGGGGGGGCUGCAGAGGCUGGAAGCCACCCUAGGGAGGGGGGGGCAGGGCUGAGCCAGCAGGCCUGGCGGGAGCCCAGGGCUUCUUUUCGCAGAGAUGGUGGUUAACAGGAUCGAUGGCAGCAGACGGGCAGAGGUGGGAGGACAGACGCCUCACCAUCCCCCCCCCCCACCUUUCCCCCAGUCAUAGCAGAAGGGGGGACCACAGGUCUUGGGAAACCCCAGGGAGGGGGGCGGAGGAAGAGCAUGUUGUGUGUUGCACCACUUAAGCUGAUUAAUGGAUUGUUUGGGGGGGGGGGCACAGUGGAAGGGGAUGAGGGCUCUUCCACCCCGUCAGAAAGCAGGAGGGAGAGUUGGGGGCAAACAGAAAGGGGGUGCAGGAGCAUGACUGGGCCUGGGGUCCCACCCUUGAGAAGAACCCUGGGCUUGGCCGGAAGCCAGCCCUGCAGGGGCAACACCGGGAGGUACAAAGGGAGCAGAGGGAGUCAAGAUUGGCCUCGGAGUUAGAAACCUCAGCCCCAGGACCCCACCUAGCCUGGGGUGCCCAGACCCAUUACCUCUCUUCACCUCUUAAGUGGCCCCGGUUGCCAUAGCAACCACCUCCUUCCUGAUGUCUCCCUGGCAACUGGCCAGGAGUGGUGCACAUUUCUUCUUCUGCCUCCUGGCUCCACCCUCAGCCCAGCCUCGCCCCGAGGAACCAGAUUGCUGGGGUGGCGGGGACCAGAAGAGGGACUUCUGCACAGAGCACGGAGCACCCAGGGUGCAACCAAAGAGGAUCCUGGAGCAGGUCCUCACCCAGUGGGCUCCCGCUGGCUUGGGGAGGCAGGCUGUGUGGAGACCCAGGGGACGAAGCAGGCUAGUCCAACCAUUCCAUCUGUGAUUCAGCUUUCUGCAGCCGAGCAGGGCUCACAUUCGUUCAGUCGGUCAGUCACUCAUUUAUUUAUUCAUUUUAGAAAACUUCUUUGGAAGACUUGUGUAAAUGCCAGGAUUCACAGCAGAGGAGUCAAAGCAAUGUACUCCCCAUCUGGUGGGGGGGGGGUGCUAAGCACACAUGACUCUAAAAUCAUGUUUCCCCAACUUGAUGCUUUCGAGGACCACCUUCACAGUUUUUGCCCUAUCCAAAUGCUCCCCAUUCCUGUUCAUUCCUUUUCCUUUAAAGGAUUAACUUCUUUUUAAAAUUUUUUAAAUAUUUAUUUAUUUUUGAGAGAGAGAGAGAGAGAAGGAGAUCGUGAGUGGGGGAGAGGCAGAGAGAGAAGGAGACACAGAAUCUGAAGCAGGCUCCAGACUCCGAGCUGUCAGCACAGGGCCCGAUGUGAGGAUCAAACUCACAACCCACGAUAUCAUGACCUGAGCCAAAGUUUGACACUUAAUGACUGAGCCACCCAGGCGCCCCAGGAUUAACUUUAAAAAAAAUAAAAAACAAAAAAAACUAGGGGCGCCCGGCUGGCUCAGUCAAUGGAACACGCGACUCUUGAUCCCGGGGUUGUGAGUUUGAGCCCCACGUUGGGCGUAGAGAUUCUGUAAAAAUAAAAGUCUUUAAAAAAGUAAAUAAUUUAAUUGGCUUCAUUUUGUAUCACCAUCACAAAUGGAAAAUCAGGAUUUUGUUUUUGUUUGUUUUUUUUUGCCUUGCAAGUAUAAAAAUGAUCUUCAAGAAGUGAUUCCACUUUUCUGGGCCUCAGUGUCCUUGUUUGUGGAAUCAAAUGAAGAUAGCACCUUAAUUCUGAGAGUGGCUGUGAAGAUUAGGUGCAUUAACACCUGUGAAGUGCUUAGACCGGGACCUGGCACGGAGUCAGUGCGAUCAAAUGCUGGUUAAACAACUAAAGGAGAAAACCAAAUAAUGUCACGAAAUUCUACCUAGAUAUCGUUGCCUGCUGAAGGCUCUGAGCCCAAGGACUGUUUUCUCUUGGGAAAAGAGGGACAUUAACAAGGUGGAAGGUGUUAAAGACACGUCUGCGCCUACCUAAGACUUCCUCUUAGAAGACCAGACAGGGAACUGAGAAGGACGAACUUACACGUUGUGUGAAUCAGUGUUAUUCAGAGUCUGGCCUAAGUGCCCCUAUACCAGUCAGUUGAGGCUAGAGUUGCUCUGGUAACAAAUAGUCUCAAAAAUCUCAGGGGCUUCUGACAACCAGGAUUCUCACUAUGUGUCCAUCACGGGGUGACCCGGGCUCUCUACUCACCAAAGAAAAUGGGAACGGCCACCAUCUCGAGCAUUCAUGUCACCAGACCAAAGGCAAAAGGGACCUCUUGCAUGAGCACUUGAAAAGCUCCAGCCUGGAAGAGACAUUGACACUUCCACUGACAGUUCAUUGGCCAGAAUUAGUCCUAUGGUCUCCCCCCAAACUCAGGGCAGCUGCCAUCCUUCCCUGAGGCUGGAAGUGGGAAGAACACUAACGACCGUGCCUGGCAUUGCCCCUGACAUUCCUGGUUCCCCUCCGCUAGUGGUGCAUGCUUAGCAGAAUUCUGCUCUAGACAAGACAGAAUGUUCUGAGAGCUGUCAGAGGAAUUAGGGAGCCAUCGAGAUGGGCUUCUUGCAUGGAAGGAUGGUCUGAACUCUCCUGAAGGGGAGUGUGGUUUGGGACAGGGAUGGGGAAAAGUAAACACACACACACACACACACACACACAGAGUUUAUCCACACGUUGGCACUUCUGAAAUUGGAAUGAGUCUUCUAAUGGAUGGGUAUUUUUCAUAUGGUAGAGUUACAUACUUACUCAUGCAUACACACACACACACACACACACACUGAGAAAACUAUUAUGAAAUCAAUUUUGAAUCUUAAAAUUGAUGAUGUCUUAGAAAUAAACAGCAAAGGAUAUAUUAAAGAUAAUGUAAUAAGGUAUAUUCUAGGACAGCUCCCCUGUGUUGGAUUUGGUGGCAGGAGGCAUUAUUAUGAGAGUAAUAGCUACAGUGCCUGACUUCUGGAGCCGUCGGGUGACUGAAAAGUUUUAGGGAAUAUUCAGGGGAAGCUGAUGCACUCAGCAGUUUACCAGUGGGAUACCAGUUUACCAAUAGCAUGUGCAAAUGGGAGUGUAUAUGGUUUUUUUUUGGAAAUGCGUCCAUAGUUUGCCUCAGGCUUCCACAGUGGGCUAGGACCAGGACUGUCAUGUACAGUUUGGUAGGUUGUGCACUGCACAAGGGAAAGUAUUGACCAAUGGUGUGAGUCGGGCUGGAAUCCAGCCUAUGCUCCACUCUUCAGACCUUGUGUCCUGCUAUGAGGCUAUAUCAUUAUUUAGAUCAAAGGGUGUCUUUAUUUGAUUUCUGCCCAGAAACCAUUGGGCCAAUGGCCCCAUCUGGAACCUCAAAAAUGUUAAGAAAUCCAGUGUUGAAAUAUUUUUUCCCUCUCUCUCUUUUCCUGCCUUCCUUCCCACAGUUCCUCAGGAACCUGACCCAUUUUACUAUGGUGAGUGGCAGAUUCUGAUGAGGGUACCCUGGGGCUGGAUAAAGGGGUGGUUGCAGGUCCCCACAGGUUAUUGCUAAAGUGGCUUCAGUCAUGCCAACAUGAUACCUGCUGGACCACAGGCCAUCUGAACAUGUGGAUUCAGUUUCUAUCAGUGAGGUUCAUGGAGCGCAGAAUCAGAUUUGGGGGAGGGGGGUGGUACCCUCUCUGGGUCUCCUUCAAUCUUCACCAGAACUCCAGGCUGGUAUGUUUUGGUCAUCAGAAAAACAUAUGACCGAGGCCAGGCUUCCUGGAUUUAGAUCCUGGCUUAUCCACUUACUAGCUGUGUGGCCUUGAGCAAGUAACUUUUCCCCUCUGGGCUCUUCUGUAAAUAAGGAAUAGUAAUAGUUUCCACCUACGAGGAUUGUGGGAAAGAUUUAUUUGGAUGAUGCCAUGAAACCAUCCCCACAACACUGAAGCUUAGAGAAGUCACCCCCAGGUCUAGCAGCACUGGCCCCAGUUCCCUCUCUAAACACUCCCUUGCCCUCUCCCUUUGCUCACUCAUACCGUUCCUCCAAUACGCCAAAUUCUUUCCCACCUCAGGGCCUUUGCACACGUGGUUCCCUCUGCCAGGCAUACUCCUCUUCUAGCUCUCCAUUCAGCUGACGAAGGCUCCUUUUCCUUCUUCGGGACUCAGAUCAAAUAUUGACUGCUCUGCUAGGAGAGGCCCUUCCUGACUCUCUGCCAAGAGGAGACGCACACACAUCUAGCCAUAGUCACAUGGCUCAGAUGUUUCAUUUUAUUUUUCAGUGCUUUGUCACAAUAUGAAAGUCAAUUCCCUGAGGCAGAGGCCUGGACAUUGACUUAACUACUAAUAGCCUAUUGUUGACUAGAAGUCUCACCGAUACCAUCAUCUAUUAACAUACACUUUGUAUGUUAUGUGUUUAUAUACUGUAUUCUUACAAUAAAGUGAACUAGAGAAAAGAUGUCAUUAAGAAAAAUCAUAAAGAAGAAGGGCACCUGGCUGGCUCAGUUGGUAGAGCAUGUGACUCUCGAUCUCAGGGUCACGAGGUCAAGCCCCGGGAUGGGCGUAGAGCUUACCAAAAAAAUAAAAAAUAAAAAAUAUAUAUAUAAGAAUGAAGAGAAAAUACAUUUACAGUGUGUUGAAACAAAUCUGCCUAUGAGCGGACCCGCAUGUUGUUCAAGGCCUGUAGUUACUGUGGUGUAUGAGACAAGGAUGCUUCUCAUGCAGGAAAAUAAAGGAAAGAAUGACAUUCUAAAGGGUUGAGGAGAGGAGGUGAAAUUCUAAAUGGACAACCAAAGGUUUCCCUGACCUUUGAAUAAAGCCCAGAAAUUGGUAAGGAAGGAAUAUUUGGGGGAGGAGCUUUGAAGCAGAGGAAACAGCACAUACAAAGGCCCUGAGGUAAGACCGUGUCUGAUCUGCUCCAGGAAUGGCAGAGAGACCAAUAUGCCCGAGGUAGGGGACUGAGGGAGAAUGUGGAGGGGGUGAGGUCUGAGAAGGAACGGGGACCAGGUGAUGCAGGGCCGUGUGGGCUGUGGUGAGGACUUUGGCUUUUCCUUGGAAUGCAAUGGAAGCCAGGGUGGGGUGGGGCCCUCUGAGCUCCGGAGCACCCGGAUCUGACUUAGAUGUUGACAGGAUCCCGUGGCUAGGGGGCAAGGAGACCACAGUGCAGGCUGCUUCCUGCAGUGAUUCGGACAGGUGACAGUGGUGGACAGAACCAAGAGGAACCAGCGGUAGAAGGAGGUGAGAUUACAUAUAUGAUGUAGAUAUCAUGUAUGUAUCAUAUAUACAUGUAUGUAUAUAUGAUGUAGAGGAAGGUUUUACGUAUACACAAAGAAUCUAGAGAAGGGUAGAGGGCAGAGAAGGGUAGAGACCUUCCAGAGAAGGUCUAGGGACCAAGCUCCGCUCGCCAUCCUCACACUAGCCCACUGGGGGAGCCCCCGGCACGGCCUGCAGCAUCCCUGGACUCUGGACCCUGACGGGGCAGACUCGAAGCCCGGUCGAGGCUCCAGGGGGGCCUGAGGUGCUACCCCACAUUGACAUCCCCCAUUAUCUUCCCCAGACUAUGACACGGUGCAGACUGUGGGCAUGACUCUGGCCACCAUAUUGUUCCUGCUAGGCAUCCUCAUCAUUAUCAGUAAGUG
rnacentral:lncRNA from 1 species